UCAGUGUGUCACUCUACUGGAUUUGGUUCAGUGUUAACACUCUGCCUCCUCAAAUGAUUAAACAGCAGCUAAAGAAGUCAUCCCGAAAUUUUCAUUGGCAAAAGAGGAAGCUUUGAUGGGAAGUCAUGUGACAUCUUUGUCAUUGAACACUAGAACAACAGUUACUAAAUAAUCUUCAAGAAUAGUUAGCAAAAAUCUAGACUUAAGGUGAAGGUUACAAAACUUAAGGUUAUUAAACAGCUUUGGAUCUCUGGUGGGGCUGAGGAAUUUCAGACACUUCUUCCCUCAAGAUCAAGUCUGGGCGAGUCUAGAUGACUGCAAACGCAGUAGAAAGAGGGGAGGUUGGCGGGCCUUUUAUUAACCAGACUGAGGAGAGAACUGACACCUAUCCUGGUCUGACAGCGAUCUGUAAAGACACAGACCACCGCAAAUUAGCAAUAUGCAGCAUCAUAUGUGGCCUCUCCUGCUGUGGAAUUAUGUCCCUUAUGUACUCUGUUAAGGCUCGAGAGACGAGAAAAAUGCUUCAACAUGAAAGCAGCAGAGAAACACAAGCAAAGGCGGAAAAAUACUCUGAAAAAGCUUGUAAAUGGGGAAUUGGGGCGAUUGUAGCCUGGGUGUUUUUAAUUCUCAUCUUUCCAUUUCUGGUGGUAUGUUUUUCCUAUUUUGUAACCUUCAUAGAUUGACUGUGAAACUGUUUACAGUUAAUAAGAGUGUAGACUUUUAAUGCAUACACUGGAUGUUACAUCUAAAUGACUCAAAAAAAGGGCCGUUUUUAGAGAGAGAUGGUCAUUAUUUUAACUUACAGGGGGUGUUAAAUGGUGCUCGCUGCCACAUUCUGUAAAUGUACAACAUUUUAAAUUUGUAUACACUUGUAUGGUUUUAACAGAAAAUACUGGAUGGUUUUGAUAAGCAAAACCACACGUAAAGACUGGUAAAUGACUUUUAAACCCACUACUGCAGAGCAGAAGGGCCAGUGCAGGUAGUUCAAAAGUGGUAAAGCAACUAUCAGGAACUUGUUACAUAUAUUAAAGCCAAACACACAAGAAACUAACAAACUAUUUUUAAUAUCCAGCAAGCUGUUUUUAUUUAGGCUCUUAGUGAAAACGAAACACUCACAGAGAGCAUGGCAGUCAAAUGUUGAAUGCGGUUACAUUAUUAUCAUCAUCAUUCUGUUCUUGUAAAUAAGUUAUUUUGAUAUGUUGUGCUUUUGAUGUUUUGUACAAUGCGUGUCUUUCAGCCUUUGUAAUAAAAUGUGUAACAGUCAAAA